GGCAGAGUAGGGAUCUGCGUGUCGCCCCCAUGGGGGCAUAGUGCCGGCGGAACGGGGAGUUGUCCGCCGGACGAAAUGGCAUCGCCUUGCAGUGCAGAUCUCGCAUCCCGCUGCC
rfam:Firmicutes bacterium CAG:83 genomic scaffold, scf90